rnacentral:rRNA from 1 species
AUACGGAGGAUCCAAGCGUUAUCCGGAUUUAUUGGGUUUAAAGGGUGCGCGGGCGGCCUUAUAAGUCAGUGGUGAAAUCUCCCGGCUCAACCGGGAAACUGCCAUUGAUACUGUAAGGCUAGAAUACAGACGAGGUAGGCGGAAUGUAGCAUGUAGCGGUGAAAUGCUUAGAUAUGCUACAGAACACCGAUCGCGAAGGCAGCUUACCAGACUGUAAUUGACGCUAAGGCACGAAAGCGUGGGGAGCGAACAGGAUUAGAAACCCCGGUAGUCC